rfam:Homo sapiens chromosome 15 genomic contig, GRCh38 reference assembly alternate locus group ALT_REF_LOCI_1.
GCCGGGCAUGGUGGCGCAUGCCUGUAAUCCCAACUACUUGGGAGGCUGAGGCAAGAGAAUCACUUGAACCCGGGAGGCGGAGUUUGCAGUGAGCCAAGAUGGCGCCACUGUACUCCAGCCUGAGCAACAGAGUGAGACUCUGUCUCAA